rnacentral:lncRNA from 1 species
CCAAGCCCUUCUGGUGGAAGUUCAUCCUCGUGGAAAAUGAUUUUGUGACUUUCCACUACCUGCCCUAUCAUGGUCGCCAUUUCUCCUCCUGUUAUGUUGCUCGGGACAUAAGCUCGCUCAAUAUCUUCAUCAAGGCAUUUUUAUACGCCUCGGAACUCUGCAGCAAUGCCAAGAUGGAAAUUUGUGCCGGGGUCUUGUUCAGCUGUUCAACAACUGAAUAUUCUUUAGCCUGUAUCUUCCUCCAGAGAUCAUCAGGUCCAGUUUCAAUGGGACGUCCAGAGGCCUACUUGCUGGACUUAGCUAGGUGCUCUAGUGUGUACACCCUGCAUGUUCUAGUCAUACCUUGCGCGGUAAUUGCUUCACCCAUGCGUGCUUUACCCUCCCUUCUUG